rnacentral:rRNA from 1 species
UACAGAGGGGGCAAGCGUUGUUCGGAAUUACUGGGCGUAAAGGGCGCGUAGGCGGCCCGCUAAGUCGAACGUGAAAUCCCCGAGCUCAACUCGGGAACUGCGUCCGAUACUGGUGGGCUUGAAUCCGGGAGAGGGAUGCGGAAUUCCAGGUGUAGCGGUGAAAUGCGUAGAUAUCUGGAGGAACACCGGUGGCGAAGGCGGCAUCCUGGACCGACAUUGACGCUGAGGAGCGAAAGCUAGGGGAGCAAACGGGG